rnacentral:rRNA from 1 species
GAUGAACGCUGGCGGCGUGCCUAAUACAUGCAAGUCGAGCGAACAGACGAGGAGCUUGCUCCUCUGACGUUAGCGGCGGACGGGUGAGUAACACGUGGAUAACCUACCUAUAAGACUGGGAUAACUUCGGGAAACCGGAGCUAAUACCGGAUAACAUGUUGAACCGCAUGGUUCAACAGUGAAAGACGGUCUUGCUUUCACUUAUAGAUGGAUCCGCUCCGCAUUAGCUAGUUGGUAAGGUAACGGCUUACCAAGGCAACGAUGCGUAGCCGACCUGAGAGGGUGAUCGGCCACACUGGAACUGAGACACGGUCCAGACUCCUACGGGAGGCAGCAGUAGGGAAUCUUACGCAAUGGGCGAAAGCAUGACGGAGCAACGCCGCGUGAGUGAAGAAGGUCUUCGGAUCGUAAAACUCUGUUAUUAGGGAAGAAAAAAUGUGUAAGUAACUAUGCACGUCUUGACGGUACCUAAUCAGAAAGCCACGGCUAACUACGUG